AAUAGAUACCCUGGUAGUCCACCCGUAAACGUUGGGAACUAGUUGUGGGGUCCUUUCCACGGAUUCCGUGACGCAGCUAACGCAUUAAGUUCCCCGCCUGGGGAGUACGGCCGCAAGGCUAAAACUCAAAGGAAUUGACGGGGACCCGCACAAGCGGCGGAGCAUGCGGAUUAAUUCGAUGCAACGCGAAGAACCUUACCAAGGCUUGACAUACACCAGAACACCCUAGAAAUAGGGGACUCUUUGGACACUGGUGAACAGGUGGUGCGUGGUUGUCGUCAGCUCGUGUCGUGAGAUGUUGGGUUAAGUCCCGCAACGAGCGCAACCCUCGUUCUAUGUUGCCAGCACGUAAUGGUGGGAACUCAUGGGAUACUGCCGGGGUCAACUCGGAGGAAGGUGGGGAUGACGUCAAAUCAUCAUGCCCCUUAUGUCUUGGGCUUCACGCAUGCUACAAUGGCCGGUACAAAGGGCUGCAAUACCGUGAGGUGGAGCGAAUCCCAAAAAGCCGGUCCCAGUUCGGAUUGAGGUCUGCAACUCGACCUCA
rnacentral:rRNA from 1 species